rnacentral:rRNA from 1 species
UACGAAGGGGGCUAGCGUUGCUCGGAAUCACUGGGCGUAAAGGGUGCGUAGGCGGGUUUUUAAGUCAGAGGUGAAAUCCUGGAGCUUAACUCCAGAACUGCCUUUGAUACUGGGAAUCUUGAGUAUGGAAGAGGUGAGUGGAACUGCGAGUGUAGAGGUGAAAUUCGUAGAUAUUCGCAAGAACACCAGUGGCGAAGGCGGCUCACUGGGCCAUAACUGACGCUGAGGCACGAAAGCGUGGGGAGCAAACAGG